UUGCUCAAAUGGUAGUAACUUCGAAUCUCGGUGGAACCGAUAUACACAACUCAGUGGCACCGAAAAGGUGGCUAACUGUCACAUGACACAACUCGGUGACACCGAUACUCAAACUCGUAAAUUCCGGUUUUGUGUACCGAGGCAACAGAAAGUUGGUCACAUGAACUCAGUAGCACUGAUGCAGUUUCGGUUGCACCAAAG
rnacentral:lncRNA from 1 species